ensembl:lncRNA
CAGCAACUGUACCAGAAGUCAAUGCAAUCUAGUUAAACCUGCUUCCUGGCUGGAAAGGGAGUGGAGCAUUCCAUCAUCAUUAUUUACUUUCUGUUUUUUUGCAGGUUGAAGAAAUCACCACCACGGCCAAAUUUGGAGACUUGAUAGAAUUUGCUUACCCCAUCGGAUAUUCACACUGGGGAGUUUAUGAUCAAGACAGAUAUGUAUUUCAUUUUGCUUUUGCGGUCAUUCCAAACAGUCAAACCAGUUUCUCACACAACACACCCUGCAAAGUGCUGCCACAGUGCUCGCUCUAACUGAAGGAGUCGGCUAUGGAUUAUCAGGAGCAGGUUGAAGAAAUCACCACCACGGCCAAAUUUGGAGACUUGAUAGAAUUUGCUUACCCCAUCGGAUAUUCACACUGGGGAGUUUAUGAUCAAGACGGAUAUGUAUUUCAUUUUGCUGUUGCGGAUGAGAAGCAACUUAUGAACAACAUUCGUACUUACCUACAAAAAAUGUUCCCGGUGUGCGGCGACCUUCUCCUUGGGCAGACCAGGAUCCGCAGGGUGCCUCUCGGUGAGGUGAACGUCCCGAAGGGCGUCCACGUCUGUAUCGGCAACACGAGACACGACUUCACCCCCUCAACCCCGGAGCAGAUGAAACAGCGGUGUGACGCCCUUCUCGAUCAGGACUUACCAUAUAAACUUUUCACCCUCAACUGCGAGCACUUUGCUACUUUUGUACGUUAUGGAACAGCAGUGUGCAACCAGCUUCCUGGUAGAACGAAGAAUAAAGAGUGUGAGUUGGCAACUGAAACCUUCAAGAACAUUGUCAGCCCUAAAGAAACUGAUGCAGGUCCCUUGAGGGAAACCUCUGACUUCUUUAAUUCACAUGUAUGGUAGGAAAAUGUAUUCAAAAGGGGAAUGAGGUAAACAUUGGUGUAAUUCGUACAUAGUCUGGUGGAAUAUAUGAAUCCUCUUUGUAUUAAUUCAGCAAAUCAUUUAUACUAAUCAUUUACAGAUUCUGCAACUCAUGGGCCAUGGGUGUGUUCUCAUGCAACCUCAGCCUAACAUGCCAAGUGUUCAAUUGUAACCUAGGCUCAAGUAUUUAUGUAUGUGGACGAGGGGAAGUACAGUGACUGCAGAGGAGCUUCCAACAUUGUAGUUUAACAUUUUACUUGAGCCUAACUCCAGAGGAGGGCAGUGCUGCGUCGAAAGCCCUAAAAACGGCAAACAGUUAAUCAACAGUUGCUAUCAGGACUGGUAAUCAAUUACUAAUUGUCUUCAUGUUGACAAAGGUAUCAUUUCAUUGUAUAGUUGGAUUUCUAAGCAUUGACUAAGCAUUAAGCAACUGUAGUAACAUGUCUUGUUAACAUGUAAUGGGGUUUUAAAUUAUAUAAACAUUAUAGCAGCAUUUAUAGCAGUAAGAGAGUUGCAGAUUGUAAGAAAAAAUAUACUGCUCUUUCCCAGGUGUUUUGGUCUCUGGUGGCCUUGGUAGGGUAAUAGGUAAGAAUAGGAUUGUAUUACUACAAGGCGCUCACAUGAUCAAUACUCAGUACAUUCCCAUGACUAAAUAAUGCUUUUAAGAACGUAUAUCAUUUUAAACAAAUAAAUUCAGAAUAGAAUUAAUUCAAAGGAAUGAUAAAUGUUAAAUGGACAAAAUUUGUAUUUCUCUUUUUAAGUCUUCCCACCCACAUCUUUUAAUACUACAUGUCUACAUUCACCCAUUUUCUUAUCUUCAAAGGCAAAUAGAUGAGAACAAGCAGAGCCAUUUUCUUUUAGAUCAAACUAUACUGAGACAUAUUGUAUUAUGGUGCAUUAUACCAUAUUUUUUCUAAUAUCACCCUAAACUACAACAUUGUUUAUGAUUUUUUAUGGCUUGAUAUACGAUAACAAUUUCAAAAAUACACUAUGAUAAUAAAUGAAUAAAUAAACUAUAAUACUUUCAUGUUUUUUAGACAUUCUAUCCAAUGAUCUAUUUGAUUAAAUACAUAAAGAGUUAUGAAAUGUUUAGCAUACUAUGCCAUUUUAAUUACAGUAAACUAAAGUUAAGUUAAGGGGUUUCAUGAUUUUGUUUUCAAGGCAUAUUAUGCAAUAAAAUAUUUUGUUACAUUUUUAUGACAUUAAAUACUACCGUGUGACAUUUUUCUGAUCUCUUACUCACUUUAACAAUUUGUGUGUUGUACUAUGAUAUUUUUAUGGCACAUUAUAGUAUGAUAAGAUGUAUAAUAUUCUUAACUGUUCGGUUCUUUAGUUUAAUUUUAGUCACUGUUCUCUGUUCUAAAGCAAACAAACAAGAUAAAGGUUUGGAUGCUUGAUGAUUGAUUCUUGUCCAUUAUGGGUGGUUCGGGACAGCUUUCUCUAUGGUUUUGCAAGACAUGCAAGUUAUGCAAGGUCAAAGUUGAAUCCAAGCACAGCAGUUGAGGAGGGAAGUCGGUGCAGUGUGCAAAGUCGCAGCUCUGCUUCAGCAUCUUCAGAGCAGGACAACUCAGCGGAUGCCCAGUUCAUCUGGUUGAGGCAACCUACCUCGGUGUAAGAGAAGCCAACAGUUGGGAACAGAGGAAAGCAGUGCAACUGUAAAACACUGGAAAUAUGCAGUAAGACUAUAAAACACAUCACCUCUGGCUAAAUUCUCUUUAGUGAAUAACCACUGCACUACUGUCUUGGUUUAAUAUCAAUAACAUUGCACCACUGUCUUAAUUAAAUGUUACACCUAUUCCACCCCACUGUACAUACUGUACGUCUAUUUCACCAUCACUUUAAUUCAAUAUGUUCUGCUCUGCUCUUUUAUUAUAUUUUAUUGUUCUCUGCACAUAUUGUGCAUUUUUCAUUUUUAAAUUUAAGUACUGUAUUGCUUCUGCUACAGACAAAUAUCUGUAUCAAGUGCUUCUAAUUGUCCAUCAACCAACAAAGCUUCGACGACCGCAAUACAAGGACAACGCAAUGGAGGCACGUGUUUAAUGGGAUCAUUCACCUUUAUAAUGCAUGUAACACACUGAUUGCACUUAUAUCUCUCUGUAAAAGGAGGGCGAAGGGAAAGUGUCCUUGUAGUUGGGCUCUGAAGAUUAAGACAGCACGGCUCCCUGUUCUCUGUUCCCUCGCCAGCAUGAUUUAAGUGAGAUGUUUGUUGUGGAUUCAGUCUCUAAAAAGGCUGUAUCCUCAAACGAAUCAAACCAUUGCAACAUCAUUGUUAGAUAUCCAGGCAUGUGAACAGAGAUUUUGGGGGCCAGGUGCUCAAAACAAAACAAAACAGCACCAUCGGCAAAAUGAUUUAUGAAAUUAAAAAUAAUAAUAAAUCAAUAAUUAAAUAAACACAGUAGAAUAUUUUCAGCUUAUAUAUUUAUUUUUGUUAACAAACUGACUCAAAUUAUCAAAUUGAAUAAAAUGAAUAUCAGGCAAAAACAGACAAAACAAAGCCAGAUCAU